rnacentral:rRNA from 1 species
GCUCAGGAUGAACGCUAGCUACAGGCUUAACACAUGCAAGUCGAGGGGCAGCAUGGUCUUAGCUUGCUAAGGCUGAUGGCGACCGGCGCACGGGUGAGUAACACGUAUCCAACUUGCCGUCUACUCUUGGCCAGCCUUCUGAAAGGAAGAUUAAUCCAGGAUGGGAUCAUGAGUUCACAUGUCCGCAUGAUUAAAGGUAUUUUCCGGUAGACGAUGGGGAUGCGUUCCAUUAGAUAGUAGGCGGGGUAACGGCCCACCUAGUCAACGAUGGAUAGGGGUUCUGAGAGGAAGGUCCCCCACAUUGGAACUGAGACACGGUCCAAACUCCUACGGGAGGCAGCAGUGAGGAAUAUUGGUCAAUGGGCGAUGGCCUGAACC